rnacentral:misc_RNA from 1 species
GCUUGGAAUCAACUUGAACGUGCCAAUUACUCUUAGCUUGCUUCUUAGUGCAUGUGCCAAAUCAAUUCCCCCAGGCUUCCAAUGUGCAUAAGAAUAAUAAAUAAGAGAUCUGGCCAUUAAUUUUAUGCUUUGUGCUUAAAACUCUUAUGGUUGUUAAUGUAGAUUGUGAAAGCUUUCUUUUUGGGCUGCCCUAGAGAAUGUCCUGUUUGUAUUUUUUUUACUCCUUUUCUAAUUGAUGUGUGAUUAGCAAUCUUGUUUGCCUUAUAACUUCUUUGCAUAUUUGUUUUUUUGUCAGUGACUAAUGUAUGUUAUCACUCAUUUUUUUAAUACUUUGCACGAA